AAAGGAAUCUAAGAGCAGCAAGAGAAAGGAAGCAAAUAACAUAUAAAGGAACUCCAGGAGUGAUGGCUGCUCAGGUCUGGGGGAUCAGGGGAAGUGUUGGAGCACAGGGAGAUUCUGCCAGCCUAUUGGCAGUGGCGGAGACUCAAGGGUGGGGUCUUGGGGCCCAGGCACAGCCCUAGAGUCUUAGGGGGGUUGCAGGCCCAGCAGGGGGCCGAGCCUCAGGCUGGGGCCCAGUGAGAGCUUCAAAGCUGGAUCUGGAGAUUACAGAGGCAGAGCUACACCGCUGGAGGGCUGUUCUGCGGCGUGGAGACUGUUGAUGCCCACUUCCUUAUGGUGAGCAGGGUUUUGUGUCAGUGGCCCAGGGACGUCAUAAGCGGGCCAGAGCUGCUGGUCAGACAAGGUUCUCUGCCACACCUAGGACCCACUGAGGCAGUCACCCAAGGCUUCCCAGGUGGAUCCUGCGUUGUCUGAGGCCUCCUCUGCUCAGAUCCCAUGCAGGGAGGAGGCAGGCUUGGCCCCCAGUCACAGGGCGCAGCACCAGGGAGCACCUGUUCCGUCUGCUCCCUCCCCAGCCUGGCAGGUGUGACGUGAAGGCUACUGCUGGAAGGCUGAGUCCCAAGUGCACCUGGCGCCAGGCACCAGAGCAGUCGGAAUGGCACUGGCUGCAGCAGCCCAGGAUCAGCCGCCACCAGAGCUUUGCCGCACGUCUCUCCAGCGCGGCGUCCCUGCAGACUCCAGCAGCUCCCGCUCAGCUCAGAGGUCUGCAGUGGAGGAGAGAGACCCCUCACGGCAACUUUUAUUCCUCUCCUAAAAAUUGGCGACCCCUUGGGCUGCUUCUAUUCCAUUGUCUUCCCCUCCCCAGCGGUGUGAAUUAUGUCGGGACCCCCAGCUUAAUCUCUGAAUUGGUGGGUGGUGCUUGAAGACCCCCCAGAGGACAGAGCCAAGAGCUACGCAGAACAACAGAUUGGGUGCUAUCGUUCUGGGUCCAGAAUCAAGACCUCAUCAAGGAACAUUGCCACCCUUAUGGCAAAAAAGGAUGCAGAGGAAGAUCGUACUGCAGAAGUUUUCCAGAAGACUUCAAUUGAAGCAUCAGCAAAACUUAAAUGUAAUGAGAGAAUUUUGUGACUCUGGGGGUGUUUUUCCCCUAGUUCCCUGCUCAAUUCCCUUGCCUGGGUUCCCUGAUGUGCUUGACUUCUGUGCUGCUCAGAGGAGGCUGAUACCUGUCUACAUAUCCAAGAAUAGGUCUGUUCUGGAGUUGUUCUCAUAAGUCAGCAAGCUGUCAAGAAACCUGAGAUGUGAUCCAUGCACUUGGCAGAGACUCCCAUCAAGAUAAGAGCUGGGCUCCCUCUCACCUCAUGGACAGCUAAAGGGUGGAAGGUGGAUUUAUUGAUUGGCCCUAUGCUGCAUCCAAGCACUUUGGCCAGGACUGGACACUCAUCUCCAAGAUGACAGUAAAUAGGCCCGAUGUUUGCUGUCAUGAUGUUCCCCAGCCUGCCACCUAGACACUUGUCCUCGCCACUUUAACCUCUUGUUCAAGGUUGUGCUGAUGUGAAUGUAACCCCAGCUUUCUGCCUGCCCAGUAUGCGUGUGGCCAGGACUGCAAAUUGAGCAUUUUGGCACCAGGCAAGAGAUCUUCCUAGGCUUACAACCAAAAUUUCCUAAAGAUACUGAGACUAGGCCCUUUCCAGACCCCACUGCCAAAGAGAAUCAGAGAUGAGAUCUGGGAGUCAUCCAGAUCCUCCAGACCCCUCCCUAGUGAAAAUGGACUUGGACCCAAACAGGUGACUCAAGUGACCAUAAGAACACCAGCCCAGCUGCUAAGCAUUGACCUCCUGCCUCCCAGACCUCACUUGAGUCCCAUCAAAACCUACCCUGCCCCCAACCUCCACCAUUCAGACCAGUUCCAGAACAGCCCCUCAGAAUUGUCUUCAGGAGGUGGGAUAAGGGGUGGUGGGUCUCCUGGCUCAGAACAGCUGCCUCAUCCCUCCCUCCGGAGAAGUCUGUGCCUGCUGCUCAAAGCCCUCACACCUCAGGGGGCUCAGCCCAUGUCCCACUGAAUGUCCCCUAAGAGGACAUUCUGGUCUCCUCCUCUGAGAAAGAGAGUGCCCAGGAAUGAGACCCUCCAUGCUAGGAAACACACAGCCUCCACUCUCCUACCACUUGCUUGGCUGAUGAACUGAUGCCCUGAGGAGGGAAAAGAUGAAGGGAACAGCCUGUAUCUGCUGAGUCUGUGUCCCCAGCCCUGGUGCCUGUGCAAAUGGAACCUCCAAAUAAUAUUCAAAUUGAAGUUGAAUUUAAAUGGAAAUUAUUAUAAUGUCUUAUAAAUUGUGUUAGUUAAUUUUAUAAGAA